rnacentral:rRNA from 1 species
GAGGGAUCAUUACACAAAUAUGAAGGCGGGCUGGAACCUCUCGGGGUUACAGCCUUGCUGAAUUAUUCACCCUUGUCUUUUGCGUACUUCUUGUUUCCUUGGUGGGUUCGCCCACCACUAGGACAAACAUAAACCUUUUGUAAUUGCAAUCAGCGUCAGUAACAAAUUAAUAAUUACAACUUUCAACAACGGAUCUCUUGGUUCUGGCAUCGAUGAAGAACGCAGCGAAAUGCGAUAAGUAGUGUGAAUUGCAGAAUUCAGUGAAUCAUCGAAUCUUUGAACGCACAUUGCGCCCUUUGGUAUUCCAAAGGGCAUGCCUGUUCGAGCGUCAUUUGUACCCUCAAGCUUUGCUUGGUGUUGGGCGUCUUGUCUCUAGCUUUGCUGGAGACUCGCCUUAAAGUAAUUGGCAGCCGGCCUACUGGUUUCGGAGCGCAGCACAAGUCGCACUCUCUAUCAGCAAAGGUCUAGCAUCCAUUAAGCCUUUUUUUCAACUUUUGACCUCGGAUCAGGUAGGGAUACCCGCUGAACUUAAGCAUAU